rnacentral:tRNA from 1 species
AGGGUUGUGGCUCAGUAGUAGAGCGCUUGCCUAGGAUGUUUGAGGCACUGGGUUCGAUCCCCAGCACCACAU